GCCGGAGUGGCGGAAUUGGCAGACGCGCAGGAUUCAAAAUCCUGAGUCCUUAACUGGGCGUGAGGGUUCGACCCCCUCCUCCGGCA
rnacentral:tRNA from 1 species